AUGGCCCCUCAAGUAGACCUUUCUAUUGCUAAGAUUGGAUAUGAGAUUGAAAAAUUCUUUGGCAGACAGAAAAGUUUUGGCAAUAAUACUAAUCCACCAGCAACUCAAAAUCUUUGCCAGUACAAAUUUUAUCCAAGCUAUGGAGCUACUACUAUUACCAAAAAUGUAGAAGAGCUCACUUGCAAUGAAGCAGCUGCAAAGUUCAUACCAGAAAAGAGAGCAGAUCAGUUGCAUGCUAAAAGCUUGGUUGGACGAUGA